GUCCCAGAGCUUCAGGAUAAAUUUAAUGUGGAUGAGUACUCUGAUUUAGUAACCCUCACCAAACCAGUAAUCUACAUUUCCAUUGGUGAAAUCAUCAACACCCACACUCUCCUGUUGGAUCACCAGGAUGCCAUUGCUCCGGAGCACAAUGAUCCAAUCCACGAGCUGCUGGACGACCUCGGCGAGGUGCCCACCAUCGAGUCCCUGAUAGGUAAAGUUCUAACUUUUGCCUGGAAGAUCAAAAGGGAAUGUGACAGAAAAGUGUUGUAAUUGUCACCUCCUCUGUUUUUUGCACUAUACCAAACUCUGGAUAUACAUUGAGAAAUAAAAUAGAUGUGAUCCUGAUAGUUUCAUAAGAGACAAAACAAAAACAACAACAACAAAAGCCCAGAUGUGAUCACUAUCUAUAAGGAACUGGAGUCAGAGGAAAAGAUCAUUUUAAAUGCAGAUACAUACUGCCAGCUUGUGUUUUUUUUUUUAAAAUUGCAGAUACAUAAAUUAAAAGUCCUCUAAAGGAAAGAAUUUUUUUGUUUGUUUGUUAUGAGACAGGGUCUCCCUCUGUUGCCCAGGCUGAAGUACAGUGGUGCAGUCAUAGCUCACUGCAGCCUCAAAAUCCUAGGCUCAAGCGAUCCUCCUGAGU
rnacentral:sRNA from 1 species